rnacentral:rRNA from 1 species
AGUGAACGCUGGCGGUAGGCCUAACACAUGCAAGUCGAACGGCAGCACAGUAAGAGCUUGCUCUUACGGGUGGCGAGUGGCGGACGGGUGAGGAAUACAUCGGAAUCUACUUUUUCGUGGGGGAUAACGUAGGGAAACUUACUCUAAUACCGCAUACGACCUACGGGUGAAAGCAGGGGAUAUUCGGACCUUGCGCGAUUGAAUGAGCCGAUGUCGGAUUAGCUAGUUGGCGGGGUAAAGGCCCACCAAGGCGACGAUCCGUAGCUGGUCUGAGAGGAUGAUCAGCCACACUGGAACUGAGACACGGUCCAGACUCCUACGGGAGGCAGCAGUGGGGAAUAUUGGACAAUGGGCGCAAGCCUGACCCAGCCAUACCGCGUGGGUGAAGAAGGCCUUCGGGUUGUAAAGCCCUUUUGUUGGGAAAGAAAAGCAGCAGGUUAAUACCCCGCUGUUCUGACGGUACCCAAAGAAUAAGCACCGGCUAACUUCGUG